rnacentral:rRNA from 1 species
AUGGGGCUAGCAGCAGCAACAGCCUCUGCGCGCCAUGCUCGUGGCCAAGCUCCGCCUUCGGCGCUGCCCGGCCUCCCUUCUCCUGCCCUCAGCCGCACCACCUACUCGCCUGUUGUGGCCCUACGGCCGCUGCCGCUGUGUGCCGCACAUGCACUGCUGUCCGCCAUUGCGCCGCUGCUGUCCACCGCCGUCGCCCCCCUUGAACACCUCUCGAUGGCAAAGACGAAAACUGGCGAGGAGGGGGAGGAGGAUCACGCCACUGGGAGGGCAUGCGAUGGCAAGCCGGAGGUGCAGCGCCCGGUUGAGGAUGAGGUGAUCCGAUUGUGA